UACGAAGGUCCCAAGCGUUGUUCGGAAUCACUGGGCGUAAAGGGAGCGUAGGCGGCGCGGUAAGUCAGAUGUGAAAUCCCGGGGCUCAACCCCGGAACUGCAUCCGAUACUGCCGUGCUUGAGGGUUGGAGAGGUAGCUGGAAUUAUCGGUGUAGCAGUGAAAUGCGUGGAUAUCGAUAGGAACACUCGUGGCGAAGGCGAGCUACUGGACAACAUCUGACGCUGAGGCUCGAAAGCGUGGGGAGCAAAC
rnacentral:rRNA from 1 species